ACAGCAGCCGCCGCGGUAAUACGAAGGUCCCGAGCGUUGUUCGGAAUCACUGGGCGUAAAGGGAGCGUAGGCGGCGUGGUAAGUCAGAUGUGAAAUCCCGGGGCUCAACCCCGGAACUGCAUCCGAUACUGCCGUGCUAGAGGAUUGGAGAGGUAGCUGGAAUUCUUGGUGUAGCAGUGAAAUGCGUGGAGAUCAAGAGGAACACUCGUGGCGAAAGCGAGCUACUGGACAAUAUCUGACGCUGAGGCUCGAAGGCCAGGGUAGCGAAAGGGAUUAGAUACCCGUGUAGUCCCUGUCUCUUAUAC
rnacentral:rRNA from 1 species